rnacentral:rRNA from 1 species
AUUGAACGCUGGCGGCAGGCCUAACACAUGCAAGUCGAGCGAGAGGCGGACGGGUGAGUAAUGUAUGGGGACUGCACGAUAGAGGGGGAUAACUACUGGAAACGGUGGCUAAUACCGCAUACUAGAGGAAAACCCAUAUGUGAUAAGCUAGUAGGUGGGGGAAAGGCACACGUGGGCGACGAUCCCUAGCUGGUCUGAGAGGAUGAUCAGCCACACUGGGACUGAGACACGGCCCAGACUCCUACGGAGGCAGCAGUGGGGAAUAUUGCACAAUGGGCGCAAGCCUGAUGCAGCCAUGCCGCGUGUAUGAAGAAGGCCUUCGGGUUGUAAAGUACUUUCAGUCGGGAGGCGUUACCGACAGAAGAAGCACCGGCUAACUCCGUGCCAGCAGCCGCGGUAAUAC